CGUGAAAUUGUUGAAAGGGAAGCGCCUAUGACCAGACUUGGGCCCGGUGAAUCAUCCAGCGUUCUCGCUGGUGCACUUUGCCGGGCACAGGCCAGCAUCAGUUUGGCUUGGGGGAAAAAGGCUUUGGGAACGUAGCUCCUCGGAGUGUUAUAGACCAUUGCAUAAUGCCCUGGGCCGGACUGAGGUUCGCGCAUCUGCAAGGAUGCUGGCGUAAUGGUCAUCAGCGACCCGUCUUGAAACACGG
rnacentral:rRNA from 1 species